rnacentral:rRNA from 1 species
GAUGAACGCUGGCGGCGUGCUUAACACAUGCAAGUCGAACGGAAAGGCCCUGCUUUUGUGGGGUGCUCGAGUGGCGAACGGGUGUGUAACACGUGCGUAACCUGCCCUUGACAUUGGGAUAACUUCAGGAAACUGGGGCUAAUACCGGAUAGGAGCUCCUGCUGCAUGGUGGGGGUUGGAAAGUUUCGGCGGUUGGGGAUGGUCUCGCGGCUUAUCAGCUUGUUGGUGGGGUAGUGGCUUACCAAGGCUUUGGCGGGUAGCCGGCCUGAGAGGGUGACCGGCGACAAUGGGACUGCGAGACGGCCCAGACUCCUACGGGAGGCAGCAGUCGGGAAUAUUGCGCAAUGGGCGGACGCCUGAUGCAGCGACGCCGCGUGCGGGAUGACGGCCUUCGGGUUGUAAACCGCUUUGGACUGUAACGAAGCGUGAGUGACGGUACCGAGUAAAAAAGCACCGGCUAACUACGUG